rnacentral:rRNA from 1 species
GAGGGCACAACUAUGGAGACAUAGCUAAUUCCUCAUACGUCCCGAUAAAUGAAAAUAAUCGGGAGAAAGAUUUAUCGCUCAAGGAGGGGGGUGCGGCCUAUCAGGUAGUUGGUGAGGUAAUGGCUCACCAAGCCUAUGACGGGUAGCCGGUCUGAGAGGAUGUCCGGCCGCAAUGGAACUGAGAACGGUCCAUACUCCUACGGGAGGCAGCAGUGGGGAAUAUUGGACAAUGGGCGAAAGCCUGAUCCAGCGAUUCUGCGUGAAGGAUGAAGCCUCGUGGGGUGUAAACUUCUUUUCUGGGAGAAGACGAAUGACGGUAUCUCAGGAAUAAGAGACGGCUAACUACGUG